rnacentral:pre_miRNA from 13 species
AACCGUAUGGAAUAAUCAUAUUCCCGUGCGGUCAAGUAAAGUGGACCGCACGGGAUAAUCGAUUAUUCUAUGCGGUC